rnacentral:rRNA from 1 species
CCUACGGGAGGCAGCAGUGGGGAAUAUUGCACAAUGGGGGGAACCCUGAUGCAGCGACGCCGCGUGAGUGAAGAAGUAUUUCGGUAUGUAAAGCUCUAUCAGCAGGGAAGAAAAUGACGGUACCUGACUAAGAAGCCCCGGCUAACUACGUGCCAGCAGCCGCGGUAAUACGUAGGGGGCAAGCGUUAUCCGGAUUUACUGGGUGGAAAGGGAGCGCAGACGGCUGUGCAAGUCUGGAGGGAAAGGCGGGGGCCCAACCCCCGGACUGCUCUGGAAACUGUAAGGCUGGAGUGCAGGAGAGGUAAGCGGAAAUCCUAGUGUAGCGGUGGAAUGCGGAGAAAAUAGGAGGAACAACAGUGGCGAAGGCGGCUUACUGGACUGCAACUGACGUUGAGGCUCGAAAGCGUGGGGAGCAAACAGGAUUAGAUACCCGAGUAGUC